rnacentral:rRNA from 1 species
GGUUAAGCGACUAAGCGUACACGGUGGAUGCCCUGGCAGUCAGAGGCGAUGAAGGGCGUGCUAAUCUGCGAUAAGCGCCGGUAAGGUGAUAUGAACCGUUAUAACCGGCGAUACCCGAAUGGGGAAACCCAGUGUGAUUCGUCACACUAUCAUUAACUGAAUCCAUAGGUUAAUGAGGCGAACCGGGGGAACUGAAACAUCUAAGUACCCCGAGGAAAAGAAAUCAACCGAGAUUCCCCCAGUAGCGGCGAGCGAACGGGGAGGAGCCCAGAGCCUGAAUCAGCAUGUGUGUUAGUGGAAGCGUCUGGAAAGGCGCGCGAUACAGGGUGACAGCCCCGUACACAAAAGCGCAUGUGCUGUGAGCUCGAUGAGUAGGGCGGGACACGUGGUAUCCUGUCUGAAUAUGGGGGGACCAUCCUCCAAGGCUAAAUACUCCUGACUGACCGAUAGUGAACCAGUACCGUGAGGGAAAGGCGAAAAGAACCCCGGCGAGGGGAGUGAAAAAGAACCUGAAACCGUGUACGUACAAGCAGUGGGAGCCCCACCACUAAGCCAGUGGUGAACUCCACAUACGCAUCCUUUGCUGAGGAUACGGUUAACGGAGCGAAAGCGACGUUCAACCGCAAAAGAAGCAGAGGGGGCUUAGUGGUGGGGUGACUGCGUACCUUUUGUAUAAUGGGUCAGCGACUUAUAUUCUGUAGCAAGGUUAACCG